rnacentral:rRNA from 1 species
GACGAACGCUGGCGGCGUGCUUAACACAUGCAAGUCGAACGGAAAGGCCCUGCUUUUGUGGGGUGCUCGAGUGGCGAACGGGUGAGUAACACGUGAGUAACCUGCCCUUGACUUUGGGAUAACUUCAGGAAACUGGGGCUAAUACCGGAUAUGAGCUCCUGCUGCAUGGGGGGGGUUGGAAAGUUUCGGCGGUUGGGGAUGGACUCGCGGCUUAUCAGCUUGUUGGUGGGGUAGUGGCUGACCAAGGCUUUGACGGAUAGGCGGCCUGGGAGGGUGGCCGGGCACCAUGGGACUGAGGGACGGCCCAGUCGCCAACGUGCGGCAGCAGUGGGGAGUAUUGCACAAUGAGCGGAAGCCUGAUGCAGCAGCGCCGCGUGCGGGAUGACGGCCUUCGGGGUGUAAACCGCUUUCGCCUGUGACGAAGCGUGAGUGACGGUAACGGGUAAAGAAGCACCGGCUAACUACGUG